AUGGCUCGAGCCGCUUUUGAUCACUUCUCCGGAUCUCUUGGCUCCGCAGACCCGCGGCCGUUCUGCCUUGACUUGGCCGCCUUUGACCACCGCUCCUUUGACCUCUCUGACCUCGAGCUGCCGUUCUCUGAAGAAGAAAUUUGGCACGCGGUGAAGCUGUUGCCCGCAGGGAAAGCGCCUGGCCCGGACGGAUUCACCUCGGAGUUUCUUUGCUCCGCUUGGGAGAUCGUCAAAGGCGACAUCUGUGAGGCCUUCGGGAAGCUUUAUGCCAUGAAUGGGCAUAGUUUCCAGCGCCUCAACGAGGCCCUCAUUACCCUGAUUCCCAAGAAACAAGAUGUUGUGUCUCUGACGGAUUAUCGCCCCAUUCUUAUUCACCUUUUUGCCAAGCUAUUUGCUAAAGUCCUCUCGCUUCGGUUGGCGCCGAGGCUUGGAGAGCUCGUGUCGGACAACCAAAGCGCCUUCAUCUCGGGCAUGUGCAUUCACGAAAACUUCUUGCUUGUCCAACAAACCGCCCGACACCUCCACAACAUCAAGGCGCCAAGGAUUCUGCUCAAGCUCGACAUUGCCAAAGCAUUCGAUUCGGUCUCCUGGCCUUUUCUGCUCGAGGUCCUUCGCCACCUCGGAUUUGGGCCACGGUGGAGAGAAUGGAUUUCCAUCCUUCUUUCCACGGCCAGUACUCGAGUCUUGAUCAACGGACAGCCAGGCCCCCCGAUCCCUCACGCUAAAGGCUUGCGGCAAGGCGAUCCCGUUUCUCCCAUGCUUUUCACCAUCGCCAUUGACGUGCUCAUCUCUCUGGUCCAGCAUGCCAUCCGCUGCAACACCCUCCGGCGCCUCUCUCCUCGUCACAUGAGGUCAAGCAUCUCCCUUUAUGCGGACGACGUUGUGAUCUUCUGCCACCCCGACCCUGCUGAUCUCUCGGCGGUGCGCGAGAUCCUGCGCAUUUUUGGAUUGGCAUCAGGUCUCAAGACCAACUUUGCCAAGUGCUCCAUCUCCUCCAUCCGGUGUACGGACGCGCAAGCCACUGACGUGAGUGCCUCCCUUGGCUGCCCGGUGGCCCACUUUCCGGUGACCUACCUCGGUCUGCCCCUCGCCAUUCGGAGACUUCACUCCUCCGUUCUUGACCCUCUCAUCGAUCGGCUACGCAAGAGGCUCUCCACCUGGCGGGCCUUCCUUCUUUCUCGUGGGGAGAGACUUGCCCUUGUGCAGCACGUCCUCUCUGCCAUGCCGCUCCAUAUUCUCUCGGCCAUUGCUCUUAAUGCCACCAUCCUUCGUCGAGCCAACCGGGUGAUCCGCGAUUUUCUCUGGCAUGGAAGGAAGGACGCGGCUGCUGGCAACUGUCCCGCGGCUUGGCGGAAGGUGCGCAUGCCGACGCAGCUUGGCGGCCUCGGUGUGCGCGACCUGCAAAGAGUUGGCAUCGCCCUUCGAGUCUGUUGGCUAUGGCUUUAA
rnacentral:rRNA from 1 species